UAUGGCUAAGACAUUAAAAGCAAAUGCAACAAAAACAAAAAUAGACAAAUGGGAUUUAAUUAAACUAAAGAGCUUCUGCCCAGCAAAAGAAACAACCAACAGAGUAAACAGGCAACCUACAACAUGGGAGAAAAUAUUUGCAAACUAUGCAUCCAAAGAAGGUCUAAUAUCCACAAUCUAUAAGAAAUUUUAGUAAGUCAGCAAGAAAUAAACAUUAAAAUUGGGCAAAGGACAUGAACAGACACUUCUUAAAAAAACAUACAAGCAGCCAACAAAUAUAUGGAAAAAAUGUUAACAUCACUGAUCAUCAGAGAAAUGCAAAUUAAAACCACAAGGAGAUACCAUCUCACACCAGUUAGAAGGGCUAUUAUUAAAAAGUCAAAAAAUAACAGAUGUUAGUAAGGAUGCAGAGAAAAAGGAACACUUAUACACUGUUGGUGGGAAUGUAAAUUAGUUCCACCCCUAUGGAAAACAAUAUGAAGAUUUCUCAAAGAACUAAAAAUAGAUCAAUCUACUAUACGACCCAGCAAUUCCCAUUAUUGGGUAUCUACCUAAAGGAAAAGAAAUGAUUCUUUCAAAAAGAUACCUGCAGAUCCUUUUGCAGUUCAUGAACAGAUAAACAGCAAGGGAUAACAGAAGUGUAGGAUUGAUUGUGAGCUUCUCCCCCCAAACUCAGAAAAACUGCCAGGCCUAUGGUAACAUCUCCGUUUUCAGAAGCUCAGAAAAGUAAGCUGCUUGCUCAAGAAUGGACGGCUUCAAGGUGGCAGAGCUGGAAGUUUCUAACUCACUCACCUCAUACUCAGACCUGCACUGUUUUUCAAGACAGUCAAUAUUUCAGGCCAUCUACUGAUUGGAUGAGGCCCACCAGCAUUCUGAAAGACAAGGAAUCUGAGACCUGGCUGGGAGAAGAGGACUUGCCUAAAGUUAUCCCACACAGCAAAUUAGUUGGAAAACCAGGAUAGUUGAGUAAAUAUCCUGGAGCCCAGCCAAGUAAUGAAGCCAGAAUUCAGAAAGCUGUUUUGGCUAGAUCUUGGAUUUUUACAAUAAAGGGUCUGUAAGGGAUAUUUGUGAAAAAUGUUGACACUUGACGGCUGUCCUGAUUCAUUCAGCUACCUAGGUUAUCUCUGCCUCUCUUUGACUUGUGUUUUGUCUUUUAAGAUGGCAGUCUUGCUCUUUUGCCUGGGCUGGUCUUGAACUCCUGGGCUCAAGCAGUUUUCCUGCUUUAGCCUCCUGAGUAGCUGGGGCUACAGGAGGACAUCACUGUGCCCAGCUCUCUCCGUAUCUUUGACUAGGUUAUUUUACAACCCCAUACGAUAGAAAUGAAGUUAUAGAAAACUGAUAGGAAUACAAAUAAUUAUUAUCCAUGGAAAUGCAAAUUGGAUCUAAUGGAAUGAAACUGAUUUUUUUUCCAGCAGAUAGUGACCACCUUUGUAUCCUUUUGUAAAUUCAUUUCAGCAUUCCAUAUUUGACUAAAAAUGUGUGACACUCCCAAUUUGCUUUUGAAUUCAUUGUAAUAUCUACCAAUUCCCUCAUUAAUUAAUGAGUUAAAUAAAGCCUUUGGCAUGUAUUUAUUUUGUAUCUAUAGGAGAGUCAUGAGUAUAUCUUCUUUUAAAAGGUAUUCUUCAGUAGGUCUUAGGGUGCACAAUACUUACAUCUUAUUUUCUCAUUCUACACUGUUCCCACACCUCACCCAGAAUAAAUGUAAUCUCCUGUGAGCUUCUGAACAUCAUGAAGAAUAACAGCUCAUUUUGUAAAGUCAUUUAGUAUUCG
rnacentral:lncRNA from 1 species